CCCCCCCCCCCCCCCACACACACACAUGAUAUUUGCCAGUCCAGGCAAUGUCAACCACAAGAGAAAACCAGUGAUGAUAAGUUUUACAAAUAAUCGGAAAGUGUGGUCUUUUGAAGAGAGUUCUUGAAGUUGUUCAGCAUGUUGUUUUGAUGGAUUCUUGGAAGGAUGUACCUCUAUGAUGUUAGCUUCAGUUCUGGAGUAUAACACCAGUUGUUGCAUAUUUGAUAACAGAUUUAUUAAAUACAUUGUUGUUUUACAAACAUUACUUAAAUUUUGAUAUUUCUGUGGUGUUUAUGUAUGAUAUUGUAGGUGAAUAUCUCUUUAUUGCAAUGGCAAAUAUAUUUUAAAUAUAUAGCAUUAGCAGAAGUUAUUUUUCACUGUUAAAGCUGCACUUUCACAGAUUGAUCACUUUGACAACUUACACAGGAUUUGAUUGCAUUUAUCAUAUUUUGGCUCGGAGAAGUUUGCUUUGUGAUUUAUAUAUUAGGUCUUAAUUUAAAGAAUGCCAAAAUAAGCCGAUUCUGAGACAAAAAGUGUCAAACUAGAAUUCUGUGAGAGUGCAACUUUAAGAAUACUGUUAAUCGAGUGUGCAUGUGAUCCGGACUCUGAACAUUGGAUGAACUAUCAUUAAAUAUUGUAGAUUAACGUAAAUGGCCCAAAAUAUAAGAAUAACAAUGAAAAUAUGUA